AAUAAUCUUAUUUUUCGUUUUUCCGUGUCCAACGUUUGAUCAUUCGUCUUAUUUGAAACUUUUUUGUGAUUUAUAUUUUUAUUAUUACUAGAUAAUAAAAUAUAAAUAGUACUUUAUACGUGACUAAUUUUUUUUAGAUUUUUACACAAAUUUUUCAAAUAAGACGAAUGGUCAAACGUUAGACGCGGAAAAACGAAAAUAAGGUUAUU
rfam:Oryza brachyantha chromosome 9, whole genome shotgun sequence.